UACGUAGGUGGCAAGCGUUUGUCCGGAAUUAUUGGGCGUAAAGCGCGCGCAGGCGGCCUCUUAAGUCUGAUGCGAAAGCCCCCGGCUCAACCGGGGAGGGCCAUUGGAAACUGGGAGGCUUGAGUAUAGGAGAGAAGAGUGGAAUUCCACGUGUAGCGGUGAAAUGCGUAGAGAUGUGGAGGAACACCAGUGGCGAAGGCGACUCUUUGGCCUAUAACUGACGCUGAGGCGCGAAAGCGUGGGGAGCAAACAGG
rnacentral:rRNA from 1 species